AAGGUACCAUUAGGUGUUCACAUAAUUAAUGUUGUGAACACAGCUGGUGGUAUCUUUU
rnacentral:pre_miRNA from 1 species